AUGGCAAUAUUAAAAAUGGAUAUAAUGACACCUGGUCAUAAAGGGAUUGUUGAGAAGGUAAAAGAAGCUUCUGAAUCACCUAAGACAUGGACACUGGAUCGUUGUGACCAUUAUCAUCAUAGUGCCUGUCUGCAUCUUGAGUGUCCAAGCAGAGCUGUCGGCAGCACCUGGACUGGUCAUGCAGUCAGCCACCAGGCUGUGAGGAAGGCUUGCAGGCAGAAGAUCUCCACCUCUCUCGUCUUCUCUGUCAACCACACAAAGGCUUCAAGGAGCCAAAAGGACAAAGGGACUGCAUUUUAUUCUUUCUCUGCAUAACGUCCCAUCCUGGAUCUAAAAGAAAAAGAUUAUUUUCUCAUAUGUGUAUAUAUUCAAUGUAUAUAAUUUUCUUUGUUGAAUCUGUAUUUUAAAAAUAAUUUCCCCUAAGUAAGUGACCUAUAUAUUGUGGAAUUUUGCAUUUUUUGUGUAUAAAAUAGGUGUUGGAAAUGUGGGUGAAUGACUCCAGAUAGCCUCACCAUAAUAGGGAUCAUUUAUCUUGGUGUGUGGGUGAAAAAUGAUAUUUUGUCAUUAGCCCAGAAUUUGGGCUAUUGAUUGUUUGGCUAUUUAUGUUGGGGAUGGGUCUUCCAGCACAGAAUUUGAAGAAAAUAGUGGUUAAGGAGGAUAUGCUACAAUUGCAAAUCUAUUUUUUAUAUAUCUAUGUGAAUCUCAUGUUGCAACAAUCCCUAAUGUUUAAGAUAGGUUGGGGUUUCAAGUUGAAUCUGGAACAAGAAUUUGUCUCUUACACACCAACCACACUGGAACCCUACAUACCCAAACAGUACUGUAAGUGAUAGUGGAAAACUUUAUCCUCACGUUUCUGUUAAUGUUAAGGCAGACAUUAUUCCUGCACUGGCCUAUUAUUAUAGAUCCUUGUGAACUAAGAGGAUAAUAUGCACUUGCAUGUGUGAGGGAGUUCUGUGUACAGACAAUACACAUGCGUGGAAUAUACAUACUCCCACGUUUCUGAAUUUAAUAGUUGUCAAAAAAAUAACCUGUUUGUAAGGGAGAAAGGCAAAUGUUUUGAAGAAUAUUUGCUUUUAUCCCAAAGCAGCUGGAACAGAAUAGAGGAGUCUGAAAGCCUGUCAGAGGAGAAGAGGAAUCCUAGAGGAGUUUUAACUUGAAGUCAAGUGGAAUUCAGUUGUUUCAUAAGUGAAGCGGGGCAUUCUGAAUGUUUGCAUCUGGUUUGAUUCAAAUGGUUUCACAUUGGCAGAGUUUCAAAUGAAAAUAAAGUUUG
rnacentral:lncRNA from 1 species